UCUUAUUUUCAUAAUUGUAUUAGAAAAUAAUAUUAUUUUUGUGCGUACGGACUACGAAUAACCAAUUGCCAAUUGGUCAUUAGCACACAAUCAGUUAUACGCUAUUACAAUAUUGCAUGUACCUAUGCCCCCUACGCUGUUUUACACUAUUCAACUAUUGUAAUAUUUAUUAUUAAAUUAUUUGGGUUCGUAUUAUUCGUAUCGUGUUUGCUGUUGUCUGCUUGACUUUCGACAGAUUGUUAAUAAUUGUAUUGCAUCAACCGUAUACUCUUGUUUUCAUUGUUUAAAUUGUGUUUAAUGGUAAUACAAUAAGUGAUUGUAAUUCUUCAACCGAAGUCGAUCAGGUUGCAGAUUUAGAAGAACCAAUUUUACCCCGGCUAAAUUAUCAAAAAUAUUUUAAAGUAUUAUGAGUCAUUGAGGAUAAUUUUUUACAAGAAGCUGAAAGUGAAGUGCCUAAGUUGUGUCGACUGUCGAUACAAAGUGUUACAAGGUGGCUUCACGUUCAAACUCUAAUGUAAAAAAACAUUUAAGCGCACAACAUUCAACUAUAUUAAAGAAAAUUGAUCACAUUGGUAAUGCGGUGAACAAAAACACUUUAAAGAGAUGCAAUGAUGGAUCAUUGAAGCAUACCCUAACCUUGUAUGCUGGUAGUUCUUUAAAACAAUCAGAUAAAAACAACCAGUUUUAGAAGAUUUUUUGAACAACAAAAAAUUAACAAGUCAAAUUGCAGCAUUAACAAAAGUAGUUGAUAUUUACAUGACUACAUGACAAUAGACUGAUACAUUGCUAGUGAACGAUACGGUUGUUAAUGAUUUAGAAGAAAUCGACUCAUUCAACUUGAACAUUCUCGAGAACAUUCUAAAUGAUGAAGACCAUGAUUUACUAUAUGCAUUACCAAAACACCAUCGAUGUUGUGCACACACAAUAAAUUAAAUAGCAACAAUGGAAUCUAAAAAAGCUUUGUCUAAUGUUGCAUACAAAAAACAGUCGAAAAGAACUUUUGCCAAGUCUACCGCUUUGUGAAUCAAACAAGGUUGCUCAACUAAGUCAGCUGAUUUAUUUAAACAAAAUCUUGGAGUUUAUUUAAUUACACCCAACAAAACACGUUGGAAUUCACUGUAUGAUGCAGUGGUGCUGCUUAAUAAAUAAAUUUAAAAUAAUGAACUUAAGUUUAGAAUAAUAAUGGACAAAUUGGCUUUUGGCAAAGUUGGAUUGCUCCUGCCAUCACCGGUGUUCACGCACGGACAACUGUAUGUAGCGUUUUCCUGAGUGAGGACUCUCAAUCCAUUAGAGUUGGUAUGUACAGUGAUGACAAUGGUAGAAUCGUCACUAAGAACAUUGUGUACAGAGAAGUUCUACAAGCGAUAUAACUGUACAAUGAAGUCUACAAGAACUUAAUGAACAUCAAAUCCAAUCUGUGUGAAUCUGUUUAGAAUUAUUUAUGUACUCAAAAAUAUAUUAGCAGAUAUUGGUAUGCAUUUGUAUUAUUUCAGAAACAUUCUAGAAAUGACUUUAUCAAUGCAGGUGUAACAGAAACAAUCAUUGUUGUACUGCUACUAAGACAGGGGAAAUUUGACAACCUUUAUGUGCUUCUCUCUUGAUGCGGAUUUUGUAAUGUAUUUGUGUCAAAUGUCAAACAUGCAUUUAAACUCGCUAGACACUCAGUCACAGUUUUCUGAUUGCUUACCUCAUCGUGUUACCCGACCGUUGCACGUCGUUCGCUAUACGACAGAGUCCCAAGGCCUGCCUGCCAGACUACGCUCAAAAUCGAGCCGGGUGACUGACUUUCUAGACACUCCAAAAUUGCGGCAGCUAUACAACUUAAUUUCUUUUUGAAUUUCUUGCUUUUUCACUUACAUCUAGCAUGGACGGGUCAUGCAUCCAAUCCACCAUACACACAUGCCCUAUAACAAAUAGAUUUGCAUAGAGCGAUGAUUAUUAAUUACAAAUUUGUACAAAUUAAAUACAAAAUAAAAUAAUUUAUUUGUCUAAUCUUGCAUACAAAAAAC